UUGGACAUGGGCGAAAGCCUGAUCCAGCCAUGCCGCGUGUGUGAAGAAGGUCUUCGGAUUGUAAAGCACUUUAAGUUGGGAGGAAGGGCAGUAACCUAAUACGUUGCUGUUUUGACGUUACCGACAGAAUAAGCACCGGCUAACUUUGUGCCACAGGCCCGCGGUAAU
rnacentral:rRNA from 1 species